AGCGAACGCUGGCGGCAGGCCUAACACAUGCAAGUCGAACGAACCUUUCGGGGUUAGUGGCGGACGGGUGAGUAACACGUGGGAACGUGCCUUUAGGUUCGGAAUAACUCAGGGAAACUUGUGCUAAUACCGAAUGUGCCCUUCGGGGGAAAGAUUUAUCGCCUUUAGAGCGGCCCGCGUCUGAUUAGCUAGUUGGUUGAGGUAAUGGCUCACCAAGGCGACGAUCAGUAGCUGGUCUGAGAGGAUGAUCAGCCACAUUGGGACUGAGACACGGCCCAGACUCCUACGGGAGGCAGCAGUGGGGAAUAUUGCACAAUGGGCGCAAGCCUGAUGCAGCGACGCCGCGUGAGGGAUGACGGCCUUCGGGUUGUAAACCUCUUUCAGUAGGGAAGAAGCGAAAGUGACGGUACCUGCAGAAGAAGCACCGGCUAACUACGUG
rnacentral:rRNA from 1 species